AACGAACGCUGGCGGCAUGCCUAACACAUGCAAGUCGAACGAGACCUUCGGGUCUAGUGGCGCACGGGUGCGUAACGCGUGGGAACCUGCCCUUAGGUUCGGAAUAACUCCCCGAAAGGGGUGCUAAUACCGGAUAAUGUCUUCGGACCAAAGAUUUAUCGCCUUUGGAUGGGCCCGCGUUGGAUUAGCUAGUUGGUAGGGUAAAAGCCUACCAAGGCGACGAUCCAUAGCUGGUCUGAGAGGAUGAUCAGCCACACUGGGACUGAGACACGGCCCAGACUCCUACGGGAGGCAGCAGUGGGGAAUAUUGGACAAUGGGCGAAAGCCUGAUCCAGCAAUGCCGCGUGAGUGAUGAAGGCCUUAGGGUUGUAAAGCUCUUUUACCCGGGAUGCUAAUGACAGUACCGGGAGAAUAAGCUCCGGCUAACUCCGUG
rnacentral:rRNA from 1 species